CACCAAUGGGGAAACGGUGAUGAGG
rnacentral:piRNA from 1 species